AUUUUCUGAGCCUAUCCUUUCCACACUGGCAACAAAGCAGGAAUCGACCGUAGAAAGGCCAGGAUGGAUCACCAGGAGACGUCACAAGAGUCACGUGUGCUGGGGGGCCGUGGAGUGCGGCUGGUUUGGCGCGGCCCACGCGGGAGCUCGAACUUCAUUAACUUCGAGAUUUGGGUCUCGGAGAACCAGAGCCUACCCCAGAAACAUUAACAGCAAACCCGUAUAAUUGAGGCGGGCAGCCGUACCCACACCACAUCAAAUAUGGUGGUUGAUGCCAAGGGUUGUACUGUAGAACUGGGAUGUGGUCUGGUGGUCCUCCGCCACCCUCCAUGUUUGCGGUGUACAAUAAGAAGCCAGGAGGCCUAAACUUGGACACCGAGUUGCUUAGCCGGUUCACUAAUGGCAGGAGGUGGGCUUUCUCAGUAUGGCUGGGCACAACUCCACCCGUUUGCUGGUAGGUCAGCGCUGGCAUCUUCUUCAUCAUCCUGAGAGUUUAUUUCAUUGCAUUAUUCUUCUUAUUCACAAAUUCCAGGAUGGCACACGGCCCACGUCACUGCUUACCGGCCCAGCAGAGCCCCCAUUGUGAACCUGUAAUCGAAUGUUACAGGAGAUGUUGGCUGCGUUUUGAGGCAUUUUGAAGUAUUUUUGCAUUUAUUUCUUAUGAUUAUUCACCUUUGCUAGUAUUGUUGCACAGUGUGCUCUCCAAUGUACAUUAUAAUCUGUCUGUGGGGCUCCAAGAGGCAGGACCACCGCCCUCUGUUCGCAUAUUCCAGGCGUCCCUCACAAAUUCAGUGAUUUUCUUUUAAAGCACUCAUUUCCGUAUUUUUUUCUUCUGGAUUUUUGCCUUCAGUCUUUGCAUCCUGGUUUUUUGGUUACAGAUUCGAAUUCACUGCUGUGGGUUGCCAUUUUAGGCAGACAA